UACGUAGGGUGCAAGCGUUGUCCGGAAUUAUUGGGCGUAAAGAGCUCGUAGGCGGUCUGUCGCGUCUGCUGUGAAAACUCGGGGCUUAACCCCGGGCCUGCAGUGGGUACGGGCAGACUAGAGUGAUGUAGGGGAGACUGGAAUUCCUGGUGUAGCGGUGAAAUGCGCAGAUAUCAGGAGGAACACCGAUGGCGAAGGCAGGUCUCUGGGCAUUAACUGACGCUGAGGAGCAAAAGCAUGGGGAGCGAACAGG
rnacentral:rRNA from 1 species